GUGACUUUUUAUUAGAGAACAAUAGUUUUGUUUUUGUCACUCCAAGGCCGGAGCCACAAAACAAGAGGAAGUGCAGGGUCUUGGUAUUUUGUCUGGAUAAUAUGUUAUUUCUUCUGAUUGCUGUGCAAACACCACAUGGGAGCUACAACUUUGGUUCCAGUCAUUGUUCUCCAAGGUUGGUAAUGGCCACAGGGAUGCUGGCAGGAGGAAAAAGGUUGGUUGUAUAUGGAAAAGGUUGGUUUAAAUUCUGUCUUAAACAUUCUGUAUUGGAAGAACCAAUGAUGCAUAUAGCUGGAGGGUAUCUAGCGUGUGACUAGAAAAAUGAAUUUGGAAAUUUAUUUGACAAUAAACGUGAACACAGAGGCAGUGCCAGCUAAUGGAAGGGACAACUCUCCAGUGUUCAGAGGAUGGAGUGGCCACAGGACGGAAUCCUGAGUUGCUCAUUCUCACUUGAGGAGGAAGUGAGGUCAUCAAAAGGGACAGGGAAUGAGCAACCAUGGAAAGAGGGUAACUAUGAGAGUACCAGAGAAGGGAUUCCAAGGUAGGGAGUCCUUUCAGAAAACACUGAUUAACCAGCACAAACAGAGCGCUGGUGAGAUAGAGAGGAAAGGAAUACAACGAGCUUCUGAUAUCUCCUAAUAUGAAGCCAUAGAGUGUAAUGCUGAGCUGUAAAAUAAAAAGGGCCCAGAAGAUGUGGAAAGAGAAUGGUUUUGCCCUCCUAAAUUCUAGGCUGUACGGAUGCAGUAGGUAAGAGUUCAAGAUAUCUGACCCUCAUUUCGAACUCAGAGGAGAGCAACAGGAGCCAACAGGAGCCACUCAGGAGCCCUGCAAGGUCCUCGUGCAGAGUCCAGCAACAUUCUGCCAUGCCUGCUGGCAGCAUCGGGGACAUAUUGAGAAAGAAAUUUCAAAGCAUAGCUUGCUUCCCAAGACACUGGCACUCUGAAUACCAACAGAAAAUUAUGCAUCCGUGUCGUGCAGAGAGAAGGAAGAUCUGCUUUGUUAAAUUCUGUGAGUUAUUUUAAAGGAAAUUCUGCUGGCUCAAAUAAGUUGGAAAUGAGAUGUGUUGAGAACAGGCUGUAGAGACAGGGUGAACCCAGAGGCUGGCAUAGGAAAAAAAAACCUACCCUAAGAUCAGAAUCAAAGUCAUUUACCUACAUUUUUGUCUACUGAAAUGUGGGCCUUGCCCUGACACCCGAAAUAGAUGACACAAAACUA